GGUCCCAUCGUCUAUCGGUUAGGACAGCUGGUUUUCAUCCUGCAAAGAGGGGUUCGAUUCCCCUUGGGACCG
rnacentral:tRNA from 1 species